GGAGGGCUGGCAGAGUGGUUGAAUGCACCAGUCUUGAAAACUGGCAAGGGUUCGCGCCCUUCGUGAGUUCGAAUCUCACGCCCUCCGCCA
rnacentral:tRNA from 1 species